CAGUUACUUUUUUCAACUUUUAUUUAGAGCUUUCAUUAGGCAGGCGUGUAUGUAGUAAAAGAAAGCCUCAAACAUAAAUAUAAAACCAACCACAAGAGGUAUUAUUUAAUCACUUGAUGAUUGCAAAUAGCCUCUGUUUUUUCAGGCAUUUUCUGUGGAACUCUUCUAGAUGUAUUAAGCUUGGUUGAAGUCCUCCAGAUGGAUUGGCCCUAAUACUGUCCUGCAAAACCAGGCAUUGUGUAUCCCUACUGGUAGGGUUUGAACAUCUGCAGGUGUGAAUGCAUCGAGGUGAUCUAAGUAUCUGCCCUUAUAACGCCCUGCAGGUGCUGCAGAUAGCAAAGAGCCGCCUUUGCAUGUGCCAAUACAUGUUUUCAAACAGAAACUUUCGUGUAUUUCAGAUCUCAUCUUGAACUGUGAACUCCUCAGGCUAAAGUAAAUGGAUAUCCACAUCUGGAAGUGGUGAUAGCGCAUCUGGACAGCACAGUCAAUCAAAAGUUAGAGCCACAGGGCUCCAUCUGAGCUAAGGAACAGGACAACAUGAAUGUCUGACGUAAAAAAGCUGAAUGAAAGUUAAAAAGGACUUUUAAAAAUGUUUUGACGGCUUCUUUGUCUCUGGUGUCUGAGAACAAGAAGAAGUGUUAUAUGACCGUCCAGCUCUUCAUAGAUUACUGUCAAGAUCUCUGGUAAGUUAAAAAUGUUGGUAUAGGAAAAAAUAAAAGUCAGGUUUAACAACUAUGUCUCAGGGGAACUUUGCCAAGAGUUAAGGGAAAAAAAAAAUCCAAACAGAAUCUUUGGAAUUAUUCAAAUAUAUAAUAUUAGUCACUCCCUGCUGUCUGUGUUACUGAACCACCUUCCAGCUUCAAAGGCAGUUAUUAAUCCAGAAAUAUUUUCAUGUGAGGGUUUAGAUUGCAACAACUGUGAGGACACGUGGAAGAUUCUUCCAUCAUUAUCUAACCAUUCAGACCUAAUGCGAGUACUCGACUGGGAAGGCCUGUGACUAGUGGAGAUGAAUAAACAGUUGGAGGGGAGCUAUUUGACUGUUUAAUAUAUGUGCCAAACUGUCUUUCCAGGGUCAUGGGGACUCAGCAGUUCCUGGGGGCUGUCAAACUGAUUACACGCAGCAAACCAGCCGGUGUGUCUCUGCCUGCUGCUUAGAGUAAGCGCUGAUAUGUCAGUCAGACUUUACUAUCAAGCACAAGCUUAUGUGCGCCUGAAAUGUUUUGCAGCUUUCGACUCAUUGGUGUACUCAGUAAUUUAAAAGCUUUCAUACGCUCUAAAAAAUGUUGUCUUGCAGUGCAAGGGGUAUCUUUGUUCCUAAUACAGAGCCUGAGCAUGCAAGUCCUUUGUGGAAGACCAGGCUCCAGCAUAGAUGUACAAUUGUUAAGCAGUCGGUUGCAUUUCAACCGUGGCAAAACGAUCCUUGUUUUGUAUUUCCAUACAAUAAUUUCUGUAAAGGCUGUGAGAUUCUUUCAGAUGGAAUGGCUAUAAAAAUUUAAGUUGCUAUUAAUUAUACCGACUUGCAUGAUUUUAUGUCUGCCCAUUUUACAUGGCAGGAAUGCUUAGAAGGAAAUUUACUCUCCUUUUCUUUUUCACACAUCAUUACAUUUUAUUUGUGAGGAUUUAGCAUAUUUUCUGACUCAACUUGCCAAAUCAGGGGUGCAUGUUUAACAGGUACAGCUGACUUGACAUUCCAGAAACGAGGCACGAUUACCAAUUAUGUCUCUGUCUUGUAGUAAUAUACCUAACGAAGGAAAGAAAUACUGGGAGAGCCGAACUUCUGCAACAAGAAGUAAAUAUAAGAUUAUCUUUAUGAAGAGGCUCUGUUUAUUUCAUCCCUGUGAACAAAGUGCAACUACUGCUACAGUCUGUGUAAACUAUAAGGC